GUUGGUGGUUAGAGCCAUGGGGGUCCACCCGGCUCCAUCCCGAACCCGGUCGUUAAGCCCAUGAGCGCGGAUGGUACUGCACUGGAGACGGUGUGGGAGAGUACGCCGCUGCCAACA
rnacentral:rRNA from 1 species